UUCGGGGUACUCGAGCGGCGAACGGGUGAGUAACACGUGAGUAAUCUGCCCCUCACUCAGGGAUAACCGCGGGAAGCUGCGGCUAAUACUUGAUAUGACCACGUCUCGCAUGGGGUGUGGUGGAAAGCGUUUAGUGGUGGGGGAUGUGCUCGCGGCCUAUCAGCUUGUUGGUGAGGUAGUGGCUCACCAAGGCUUCGACGGGUAGCCGGCCUGAGAGGGUGACCGGCCACACUGGGACUGAGACACGGCCCAGACUCCUACGGGAGGCAGCAGUGGGGAAUAUUGGACAAUGGGCGAAAGCCUGAUCCAGCAACGCCGCGUGAGGGAUGACGGCCUUCGGGUUGUAAACCUCUUUCACCUCUGACGAAGCGCAAGUGACGGUAAGGGGAGAAGAAGGACCGGCCAACUACGUGCCAGCAGCCGCGGUAAUACGUAGGGUCCGAGCGUUGUCCGGAAUUAUUGGGCGUAAAGGGCUCGUAGGCGGUUUGUCGCGUCGGGAGUGAAAACCAGGUGCUUAAC
rnacentral:rRNA from 1 species